GAGCUCGGCGUUGUGCAGGUGUGGAUGUUGGUCGGCGAGUUUCCUCCGCGCCGCCUGCGCCCACACCAUGAAGGCGUUCAUGGGUCUCUUCACGUGCGGCUUGUUCUUGCUUCCGGUGUUCACGCGCACGGGCAUGGGCACGAGGGUCCAGUCGUAGCAGUUGAGGACCUGGCUCACCGCGUCACGGAUCCCUGCGGGAAAGCGGUCGUCCUCGUCGUCGGAUUUGACGGACGAGCAGCCCCCCGUCCUGUCGUCCAGACCCGCCAGCUGCCGCGGCUGCUGCUGCCCGUGGAGAGGUGAGUCCCCCCCGCCAGCCGCACCGGAGGAGUGACCCGGUGACUGGGAGCGGCUGUCGUCCGACAUCCCGGGACUGAGCUCAACCUCCGAUAAACUCUGCUCUUCUCUGGACAUCUUCCUUCACACACACACAGGCCUCCAGGCCGAGUGCAGUCGGACGCUGGGGGAACCGUGGCCGUUAUGGAGUCCUAAGAGAUCAGGUCUCCACCGUGGAGGUGGUGCUUGGACCACUGAGAAGGACCCCUGCAGGAGAGAGAGAGAGAGAGAGAGAGAGAUGAGCAAGAUGUGGAUUACAACGUAAUCCUGAUGUAAUUCUGCAAAACGUCUUGAGGAACAGUGACCCUGCUCUCAACAAAGUUGUAAUGUUGUGUGUGUUUGUGCCCUUGGCUUCCAACCAACAACACAGCUGUGAAAUAAGUUCUCACACAUCUGAGCUGUAUCUUCAAAUGAAAGAUGCAACCAGCCAACAUUCCAUCAUCAGUGGUGACACCCUUUUGGUGCAAAGUUUUUGUAACAUCUAAUGAACCGAGAGGCCAGGAGAGGCAGAGCACAGGCACCAGGUAUCCCGAGGCCUUUCCUCCCUCUUCUAAAGGUGUACAUGUCAAGCCUCACCAGUGCCAUAGAGAUUUACAGUAUGUGAUAGAGAAGUAUGGCUGUUCACUCGAUUGUACACGACACAGCAGUUCCCAUGAUGCCCGGGCGUCAGUCUGUCUGACGCAGUGCUUAUUUUGUUAUGGUAACUGUGAAAGAGCGUACCGUCUGAAGGUAAGACUGUAAGUGCUCUUAAUAUCUGUCAUCUGGAGUGCAAAGUUGUGAAAUGACUUAAUUCAACAAAUAAAAAAAUUAAUCCAUCAA